GACGAACGCUGGCGGCGUGCUUAACACAUGCAAGUCGAACGGAAAGGCCCUGCUUUUGUGGGGUGCUCGUGUGGCGAACGGGUGUGUAACACGUGAGUAACCUGCCCUUGUCUUUGGGAUAACUUCAGGAAACUGGGGCUAUUACCGGAGAGGAGCUCCUGCUGCACGGUGUGGGUUGGAAAGUUUCGGCGGUGGGGGCUGGACUCGCGGCUUAUGCGCUGGUUGGGGAGGUAGUGGCUUACCAAGGCUUUGACGGGUAGCCGGCCUGAGAGGGUGACCGGCGACAUUGGGACUGAGAUACGGCCCAGACUGCUACGGGAGGCAGCAGUGGGGAAUAUUGCACAAUGGGCGGAAGCCUGAUGCAGCAACGCCGCGUGCGGGAUGACGGCCUUCGGGUUGUAAACCGCUUUCGCCUGUGACGAAGCGUGAGUGACGGUAAUGGGUAAAGAAGCACCGGCUAACUACGUG
rnacentral:rRNA from 1 species